UCUUACUUGAGAAAGGGUGGAACCCCUGGAAGAUGAGGUAAAAUGACAUAUCCUUGCAAUGAACGUGACAUGUCUUUUCUGUUUAAUUUUUUGUGCGCCAAAUCAGCUAAAUAUCAGCAUUUGCAUGACUGGAUCAUCACAAGAGCAGCAGAACUAAUGGUAAAAAUCAUUAGCGUCCAUUCAAAAAGCAUGAGCCUUUGGGAGGAGAAGGAAGCAGGAAGCUCCUGUAAGUGCCCAGCGGAUCACAGUCCUGCACACAUCCUUCCCUGAUAUGGCAUGCAGAAAGAGGGAUAUAGAGUGCAGGCAUGAAUCUCUUUUUUCACGUGAAAUGCUAAACUUUCUGAUUAU
rnacentral:lncRNA from 1 species